rnacentral:rRNA from 1 species
GAGCAAUCCUGGUGGCGAGUGGCGAACGGGUGAGUAAUACAUCGGAACGUGCCCAGUUGUGGGGGAUAGCCCGGCGAAAGCCGGAUUAAUACCGCAUACGACCUGUGGGUGAAAGCGGGGGAUCGCAAGACCUCGCGCAAUUGGAGCGGCCGAUGUCAGAUUAGGUAGUUGGUGGGGUAAAGGCCCACCAAGCCGACGAUCAGUAGCUGGUCUGAGAGGACGACCAGCCACACUGGGACUGAGACACGGCCCAGACUCCUACGGGAGGCAGCAGUGGGGAAUUUUGGACAAUGGGCGCAAGCCUGAUCCAGCCAUGCCGCGUGUGGGAAGAAGGCCUUCGGGUUGUAAACCACUUUUGUCAGGGAAGAAACGGCUUAGUUUAAUACGCUGAGCUAAUGACGGUACCUGAAGAAUAAGCACCGGCUAACUACGUGCCAGCAGCCGCGGUAAUACGUAGGGUGCAAGCGUUAAUCGGAAUUACUGGGCGUAAAGCGUGCGCAGGCGGCUUUGCAAGACAGAUGUGAAAUCCCCGGGCUCAACCUGGGAACUGCAUUUGUGACUGCAUGGCUAGAGUGCGGCAGAGGGGGAUGGAAUUCCGCGUGUAGCAGUGAAAUGCGUAGAUAUGCGGAGGAACACCGAUGGCGAAGGCAAUCCCCUGGGCCUGCACUGACGCUCAUGCACGAAAGCGUGGGGAGCAAAC